AAACUUUUAGCUCAGAGGUAGAGCAAACUCCUGAUAAGGGUUUAGUCCCUAGUUCGAUUCUAGGAAAGUUUA